GUCGAGCGAGCGGAACCACAGAUUUACUUCGGUAAUGACGUUGGGAAAGCGAGCGGCGGAUGGGUGAGUAACACGUGGGGAACCUGCCCCUAAGUCUGGGAUACCAUUUGGAAACAGGUGCUAAUACCGGAUAAUAAAGCAGAUCGCAUGAUCAGCUUUUGAAAGGCGGCGUAAGCUGUCGCUAAGGGAUGGCCCCGCGGUGCAUUAGCUAGUUGGUAAGGUAACGGCUUACCAAGGCGACGAUGCAUAGCCGAGUUGAGAGACUGAUCGGCCACAUUGGGACUGAGACACGGCCCAAACUCCUACGGGAGGCAGCAGUAGGGAAUCUUCCACAAUGGACGCAAGUCUGAUGGAGCAACGCCGCGUGAGUGAAGAAGGUUUUCGGAUCGUAAAGCUCUGUUGUUGGUGAAGAAGGAUAGAGGUAGUAACUGGCCUUUAUUUGACGGUAAUCAACCAGAAAGUCACGGCUAACUACGUGCCAGCAGCCGCGGUAAUACGUAGGUGGCAAGCGUUGUCCGGAUUUAUUGGGCGUAAAGCGAGCGCAGGCGGAAAAAUAAGUCUAAUGUGAAAGCCCUCGGCUUAACCGAGGAACUGCAUCGGAAACUGUUUUUCUUGAGUGCAGAAGAGGAGAGUGGAACUCCAUGUGUAGCGGUGGAAUGCGUAGAUAUAUGGAAGAACACCAGUGGCGAAGGCGGCUCUCUGGUCUGCAACUGACGCUGAGGCUCGAAAGCAUGGGUAGCGAACAGGAUUAGAUACCCUGGUAGUCCAUGCCGUAAACGAUGAGUGCUAAGUGUUGGGAGGUUUCCGCCUCUCAGUGCUGCAGCUAACGCAUUAAGCA
rnacentral:rRNA from 1 species